rnacentral:lncRNA from 1 species
UGCCAACCUGGGAGAAUACUGAGAAAUAGUAUUGGGUGAAUACAUGCAAAGGACGGUAGGCAUUUACAAAAGCUUGUAUUCAUCCUAAGCAAACUAGUGCUACUCUAAGUACUAGCUGUGCUUCUGAAUGGACAACACAUCCUAGUAAUGGAAAAAACAGUUGAAAGAAGGGAAUCUUUUUCUAUGACAAAGGACAUUGAAUCUAACAGCCCACAUGAACCCCUGGCCUGUGGCCUAUAUCCAGCAGAGACAAGUGGGCUGAAAACUAGUAUGGAGAUUCCUCACAAAACUGAAACUAGAAAUUCUACUUGAUCCAGCUAUUCCCCUUCUAGAUGUCUUCGCAAAGAGUCAAAGACAUUACAGUGACCCAUGCAGACCCAUGUAUACAGCAACACAAUUCAUAAUAGCUAAACAUUGGAAGUAGCCCAUAUGUCCAUCAACAGAAGAAUAGAUAAAUUAAAUGUGGUUUUUAAACACAAUUGAGUACUACUCUACCAUAAGGAAUGAUAAACUUGAGUCAUUUGUAAAAAAAAAAUUAAAGCAUCUUGAGACCAUAAUGUUCAGUGAGAUAAAUCAGACACAUAAGCUUACAUAUCACAUGGAUUUUUUUUUUGUAUGAGAAACCCAAAGUAUAAAUAAAGAGCAAAAUAAAGAUAGAUGAUAGGAAGAAGAGGGAUAAAUCUUUCUAAACAGGGAAAAGAUCAAAAGACGGAGAGGGUGGGGUGGGAGGAGAGGGAAAGGGGAUGAUAAAAAGGAAGUGUAAGAUGUGUUACGUACCUGUACCAAUUGCUCCCCAGGUCUGUAAACUUUAUGCACUACCAACAUGUACUAAUGAAAAUAAAUAAUAAACCAAAGGUAAAUACAAACCUUGAGACCCAUUCUGGAAACAGCAGGCUGAUGUGGGUGAGAGAACAGAGAUGGAAAGAAAAAAACUAACCAAAGGCUUAGCUUGUGAAGAUGCUUAUUUUUUCUGCUAUUUUGUGGAUGGAAAAGUUUUCUGGUGUCCUCUUGUGUUAUUGUCUCUAAUUUAUUACUUCCGGAAACAUAUGAUUUAAUUUCUAUUUAUUAUAAUAGUAAAAGAAAAAACAAAAAGCCACAAGUAACAAGAACAUCACAAGUGUCUCCAUAUCACCUCCAGAUGUUGUCAUAUUCCCAUCCUCCCCCUCUGUGAUUCUCUUGCUUUGCUUCAUUUUGUUCCUUAGUUUGGCAAAUGCAAGACUAAGGCAUGAAGCACCACCCUCAACCCCAUCCUCCAGGUGUUUCUUAAGCAUCCGCAUAUUGGGGAAGACCUGGUCGCAGCCCAUGCACCUGAAGCCACUGUACAGGUCCUCCAGCACCGAAUCCCGGGCCAGAUUCUCAGCCUCUUCCCUUUCCUCUUGCCCUUCCCCGGGCAGGCCAUUUUCACUGUCAGUUAGGACAUCUCUUAGGCACACAGAAGAGAGGCUGGCUUUUGAAGGGAUCUUCUCAGGAAAGGUCAUUCUUGCUAUUCUUGUCAUCUUUGUGGGGGGCUCCAAAUCAUCUUCUGUAUCCCCCAAGGAAGCCGUACCCCUUUUCAUUGGGACAGGCUGAUAGUAGACAUUCAGGACUCUUUUCUUUUCAGUAGAUGUUGCAGACUCUAGGGGGUUAUUGGCCAAGGAGGAAGGUAAAUGAGAAUGUGCCAUGGAGGAGAAAUUCUCCUUCUCCAUCAAAUCUUGAUUUAAAAGCCUCUUGCAGGAUCCAGGACCUGGAACAUAUUGAGGUAGUAUGUUGGUAUUUGGAAAAGAAAGCUUCAAAAAUAAUGAGAUAAGAUGGCCAUGAAAAUGUCCUGGGGUGGGGUCAUAUUUUGUGUGUGGUUUGUGUCAUGUAAUGUACAUGCUUUGUAAUCCUAUGUGGAAAAUGAGUUGUGUAAGGCAACUACUAUAAAUUAUAUACGUACAUACACACACGUAUAUAGACAUGUACAUGUGUGUGUGUAUACAUACAUAUACAGAGUCUGCCAAAAAAAAAAUAGUAUGUUUUUCAAUUACCCAAAUAUGGGGCACCAUAGAGGAUGCUGUAGAUUGCAGGAAAUCCACUACAUUGUCAGCUCUUAGGGAAGAAAUUGAAAACAAGUAUGUAGCAAUCUCAAUGACCAAGGUCACCCAAGCAGCAGUUCUCUGCUAAUGGGCUCAACUUUGAGCACCUCUUGUAAUUGUAGUGCCCAAAGAUAACUUGCAUUAAUCUCAUUAUAUCUCAAUAAAUGCAGUAUUAAAAUAUUUAUACAAGUUUUUCUUUUCCUGAAGUGUGUAUACAUUUUUGGGGCAGAGUCUGUAUAUGUAUGUAUACAGACAUAUAUUCUGGUAUACCUUUGGUGACUGUCUGGUACUGGCAAAAGCAGAUAGUGCUGUGUCUGUGUGCGUGUGUGUGUCUGAUACUGUAUGAGAUAGCACAUGUGAUUUCAUUGUGAAUAUUGGUAGAUGGUGUGACAAUAAAUAGCCUUACAUGUUGGAGGAAGUGUUUAUGACCUCAGCACAUGCAGCUCUGUGAAGGGCUGAAGGCGUGGUGGAAGAAGUGACUUUUGUGUGAGAACAUAUACAUAUUAGAAGGGCACAAGAGUUUUCUAGUAUUUUGUCUACUAGUAGCAUUAUGAAAUUAAAACAGGUUAUCCAUGUGAGGUAAUAGUUUAUCUGUGUCAGGUGAUAUGAAGUUAUUUACAGGAUUAAGGUGUAAAAUGGUGGGUGAGUCUGAGAAUGACUUCUGGAAUGUGGGCAUAAGGCUGUACCUAUGUAACGCUGAUACUGGGAAAAUAGGGAGAGAGGAGAUAUUUAUGAGAAAGAUAAAACGGAGGAGAAAUGGUCUGUACUUAGUACAAAGGAGUGUGACAUGUGAGUGUGAGCUGAGUUUAUACACUGAUCUGAGGGGGAAGACUCUGAUCCCACCUCCUGCACAUCACAUAGGCCACUGCCUCACCCACAGUGGCCCCAGUGUUCACAUGAAAAUGUGUGCUGAGGAACUCUGUCCUCCUCUAGAAGGCAGAUUUCCUAUCUGCCCCUCCCCAGAGGAGUCAGUGUUCAUCCCUCUUCCCUGAAGACCUUUCAUGUAUGUAAAGGAAGUGAAUGGGGUUGGGUAGUUUUUCCCUUACCCCUUCACCCUUCAUUUUUCAAAUAAACUUUUGGGAGUUAGGAAAAUGAACAUGGUGAGUUUUGGAAACAGAACCUGGGCAGUUUUGGAGAAAAGUGGUCAUUUAUUCAGUUGUUGAACAAACAGGGUCUGCUCCACCUCUGUUCUACCUCAGACCUUUGAGAAUGAACUUGUCUGUAAAAUGGGAGCAGAGUAAUCAAGAGAUUAUACCUGAAAUAGCUGAUUCCAUUCUGCUCACCCUCUGCUAUUCUCCAAAGCCAUCUUGUCCAGCGUCCUCUCCCAGGAAUACUUACUGCGUCUUGAACAGUGUUGUCUUACUUGGGCAGGAACUGCUGCACUUCAGUCCUCUGUGUUUCUACAGGGAUCCUGCCCUCAAGGUGCCUUAUGCCCCUCAAACUUGGUACUGUUUCAUAUUGCUUGCCGCCUUCUACAUAUUUCAUACUUUGUCUACAUCUUACUUCCUAGAGAUUCUCAAUCUCAAACAAAAGAUUUGGUAAAUUUUUGUGUUUGAAGAAAUUAAAUAUUCAUGAUCUUCUUAUGUUCCUGUUCCUGUUCAUAAUGCCCAGCAAAGUAUAAUCAAUGAAUAAAUUUUUUCUCCAUGUAAUGGAAUAUAGGGAGUAAUGACAAUAUACACUGUAAUCAUAUGCCACAUGGAUAACAUUCAUAAAUAUAAGGAUGAGCAAAAAUGAUCCAGACAAAAAGUAUAUAUUUUGCACUUCUAUUUACACAAAUUUAUCUCCUGACUGGCUCCUGGCUUCUAAGGUCAUCUAGAAGUCAGAGUAAUUAUUACUAUUUGCAUGGUAGGGUCAAAAA